GCGCUCGUGGCGGAAAGCAUGGAAGACGCGUCCGGCUCAAACCCGGAUGCCCGGUCUGGGCGUGCAGGUUCGACUCCUGCCGAGCGCA
rnacentral:tRNA from 1 species